GACAGAGGGUGCAAACGUUGUUCGGAAUUACUGGGCGUAAAGCGCGUGUAGGCGGCUAAGUAAGUCGGGCGUGAAAUCCCACGGCUCAACCGUGGAAGUGCACUCGAAACUGCAUAGCUAGAGUCCUGGAGAGGAAGGUGGAAGUGCUUGGUGUAGAGGUGAAAUUCGUAGAUAUCAAGCGGAACACCGGUGGCGAAGGCGGCCUUACUGGACAGUGACUGACGCUGAGACGCGAAAGCGUGGG
rnacentral:rRNA from 1 species